UACGGGGGGGCAAGCGUUGUUCGGAAUUACUGGGCGUAAAGGGCUCGUAGGUGGCCAACUAAGUCAGACGUGAAAUCCCUCAGCUUAACCGGGGAACGGCAUCUGAUACUGGAUGGCUGGAGUUCGGGAGAGGGAUGCGGAAUUCCAGGUGUAGCGGUGAAAUGCGUAGAGAUCGGGAGGAACACCUGUGGCGAAGGCGGCCCCCUGGGCCGGCCCUGACACUGAGACGCGAAGGCGUGGGGAGCGAACGGG
rnacentral:rRNA from 1 species